GACUCAGUGAGCAGCUGUCACUGGAGCUUGCCUGGGGCUUAAGGGCUUUCCUGUCUGGGGGCGGCGGCAGGGGGAGGCGUUGCCACACAGAGAAGAGGCUGCCGGGGUGCCCGGCUGUGUCAAGCCACCUCCCUGGAGAGACCAUGCUGGUGCUGAGGUCUGGCACGUGGCCCGCACCCAGGAAAGGAGCUCGGCCAGUGGUGGCACGCCGGGGAAACUCAGAAGCUGCGCAGAGGCCAGAGCAGGGUGGUCGUGGACAGCGUCCUGUGCAGGAACCUGGCAGGAAUGCAACUUUAUCUGCUACCUUCAGAUGGUGGUGCCUG